CCUCGAUCCCAGGCCGAGUUUUCGCUUUUAUAACGGUUAGGCGAACAACUGGGCCUGGUACUAGUUGUCUGCGCAUGCGUCAAUCGUUCGUCAGAUUCUGACGAAUGGAUAUUCUCGUUCACUUUCGUGACAUUUAUAUUCGUGUACUAUCGUGUACUAGAAGUCAGUUCCCGUUUUAUCAUUAUUGGAAUCGAUUGGAAUGGCUCUUAGCUGAAGCUUCUCUCUUCUCUGAAGCUUAUUCUGAAGACUGAACAACAAGGGAAGAGGUAUAAAGCUUUGUCAAGCUUGUUAAGGUCAGAUAUUUUUGUGUGGGCCCUAUGGCCGGCUAUGCUAUCAAGUCUUGUUCAUGUUUGGCAAGAAUGUAGGUAGACUAUAGUUUCAUCAUUAAUAUGGUGGAUCAAGUGAAGAGUGUGAGCUAGAGAACUUGGUGCUGCCAUCAUCAGCUCGUCGACAAUGACACUAUAACCGAGAAAUUUAAUAUGUAUAGAUCUACACGUAUUUAAAAUGUCUACUUCUCUGUACAGGAGCAAUGGCUAAUAUCCAGCUAUCCCAACAGUGCUCCUCUUGGCUAUACUAACGGACGAGACUGGACAGUUUGAGACACAGGACUGGAGUAUGACCUGCUCAUUCGAGCGUUGCUGGGUAGCUCAGAGACAUCAAGAGAAUCUACGUUUUCUCAAGCAAUGAGUUACGAGUUGGGGCCUAGAAUCAGAGAAGUCCAGCAGCCUGCUAAAUCUUUUUGAAACGUAAUUUGAAGGCAUUCAAUCAUCCUGAAGUUGCCCUGGGUCACUGUAAUUGUGCUGCAGCACAACUGGCAACUCCCCAGGCCUUUGUGAAGCAGCUCCCUAUGUGCAUCUUUUGUGUACUCACUCUGUGCAUUUUCUGUGUACAAAUUUCCAUUAUUGAUUUAUUAAAUAUUUUUGCCGACCACAAA